GUACUAUUCAAAAAAGGAUGCAAUGGAGAACAUUUACAGAGGACUGUGGGUAAAGCAAAGUCUUCAAGGGAAGAUAACAAAGGAUGAAACAAUGGUGUUGUGUGACUUCCUAGUGUGAAUCAUGGCAAUACAGUGAAAGACAGUGAUUUACUGCUUUUGAGGGCGUGCAUGUAUAUGAUUAACGGAUGGAAGUGCAGGACUCCAAGAUUUACUUCCUUCCCUUUCCAGCAGAAUUACCUGAGACGAGUAAAAUCUACUGGUGGAGUCACUCCAUUAUUCUUAUCUGUGGAGAUCUAGAUCUUGAUUUGAAAGUUUCUGAGAAAAUCUUCAGCUCAGACUUGAGGGUCAACUUUACCAGCUGAAGGAUCUGCAUUUACUGCUCAACCACAUCUAAUUUGAUGUCCUCUGCAGAUUUAAAAUGUGUGCCUUCUUUUCCGUCACCAAGUCAUCCCUGGGUUACUACUGAACAUCCUUCUCAAUUCCCCCCGACCCAUGGAUGGCUGUUCUCCAUUGUCUGUUUCACCAGAUGUCCUCAAAACAAACAGACAGAAGAAGGAAGUGGCUAAUGGAGCUGUGGAGUCCAAGUGUGACUGCCAAGAGGAAUCCAGCAAAGCCAAAAAGCCCAAGCAUGUAGCCCUGCCCGAAGCACGCCACACGCAUGGAAAACCCAGAGGAAAUGAGUGAGGAUCAAUGGGAAGAAGAGAGCCAGCCAGGAAGUUGAAGAUUUGUCCAGGAGCAGAUAGCUGAAGAGAGAGAGAGAGAAGAGAGAACGGCUUACAGCUCAGGUCCUCUCUCCAUGCUUAGGAACCACUACAAAUGCUACUGCCUUGAGUCUCAUUUUGUUUCCCUCUGGAAACCACAUGUGUACCUUGUUUGCAACAGUAUGGGCUCACAGGCAGAAGGAAUUUUCCUUGUCUUGGAUGAGACUUUUGACUUGGACUUUUGGGUUAAGUUCUGGAGACCAGAAGGCCAAAAUCAAAAGUAUGGGCAGGCUUGAUUUCUUUAGAAGACUCCAGCGGAGAACUGUGUCUCCUUGCUUCUGAUUCUACAUCUCCAUCCAUGGGCCACUGUUUCAGCAACCUCAGCCAGUGCAACACAACCUCAGCCAAGAAGAGUAUGCAGAGAAAGGAGUCCCCUACCUGCCACAAAACUGUUGUCUGAAAACUGUCUCAUAUUGUCUCAAGUUGUCAUUCAUUGUGAAUUAGACCUGUUUAACAUGUAAUCUGCAAC
rnacentral:lncRNA from 1 species